GCAGCACAGUAAGAGCUUGCUCUUAUGGGUGGCGAGUGGUGGACGGGUGAGGAAUACAUCGGAAUCUACUCUGUCGUGGGGGAUAACGUAGGGAAACUUACGCUAAUACCGCAUACGACCUACGGGUGAAAGCAGGGGAUCUUCGGACCUUGCGCGAUUGAAUGAGCCGAUGUCGGAUUAGCUAGUUGGCGGGGUAAAGGCCCACCAAGGCGACGAUCCGUAGCUGGUCUGAGAGGAUGAUCAGCCACACUGGAACUGAGACACGGUCCAGACUCCUACGGGAGGCAGCAGUGGGGAAUAUUGGACAAUGGGCGCAAGCCUGAUCCAGCCAUACCGCGUGGGUGAAGAAGGCCUUCGGGUUGUAAAGCCCUUUUGUUGGGAAAGAAAUCCAGCCGGCUAAUACCUGGUUGGGAUGACGGUACCCAAAGAAUAAGCACCGGCUAACUUCGUGCCAGCAGCCGCGGUAAUACGAAGGGUGCAAGCGUUACUCGGAAUUACUGGGCGUAAAGCGUGCGUAGGUGGUCGUUUAAGUCCGUUGUGAAAGCCCUGGGCUCAACCUGGGAACUGCAGUGGAUACUGGGCGACUAGAGUGUGGUAGAGGGUAGCGGAAUUCCUGGUGUAGCAGUGAAAUGCGUAGAGAUCAGGAGGAACAUCC
rnacentral:rRNA from 1 species